UACAGAGGGGGCAAGCGUUGUUCGGAAUUACUGGGCGUAAAGGGCGCGUAGGCGGCCGCCUAAGUCAGACGUGAAAUCCCUCGGCUCAACCGGGGAACUGCGUCUGAUACUGGGUGGCUUGAAUUCGGGAGAGGGAUGCGGAAUUCCAGGUGUAGCGGUGAAAUGCGUAGAUAUCUGGAGGAACACCGGUGGCGAAGGCGGCAUCCUGGACCGACACUGACGCUGAGGAGCGAAAGCCAGGGGAGCAAACGGG
rnacentral:rRNA from 1 species